AGCCAAUUUUUUUCAGCAUUGUUUCUGGACCUUUCUGAGGGUGGGAUCUGGGCAUCUUCAAUGGCUUAACAAGUAUCACAGAUGAGGAAACAGACUUGGAGAGGUUAAGUGACAUGCUCAAGACAACACUGCUGGACCGCAGCUGAAUGCACAGCUAGAAGGUUGGCUUUCACAAGUACAGUCUACAAAAAGACCUGCUAGAGCCAUUAUUGCCCCCCAUGCAGGAUAUACGUACUGUGGGUCUUGUGCCGCCCAUGCUUAUAAACAAGUGGAUCCGUCUAUUACCCGGAGAAUUUUCAUCCUUGGGCCUUCUCAUCAUGUGCCCCUCUCUCGAUGUGCACUUUCCAGUGUGGAUAUAUAUAGGACACCUCUGUAUGACCUUCGUAUUGACCAAAAGAUUUACGGAGAACUAUGGAAGACAGGAAUGUUUGAACGCAUGUCUCUGCAGACAGAUGAAGAUGAACACAGUAUUGAAAUGCAUUUGCCUUAUACAGCUAAAGCCAUGGAAAGCCAUAAGGAUGAGUUUACCAUUAUUCCUGUACUGGUUGGAGCUCUGAGUGAGUCAAAAGAACAGGAAUUCGGAAAACUCUUCAGUAAAUAUCUAGCGGAUCCUAGUAAUCUCUUUGUGGUUUCUUCUGAUUUCUGCCAUUGGGGUCAAAGGUUCCGUUACAGUUACUAUGAUGAAUCCCAGGGGGAGAUUUAUAGAUCCAUUGAACAUCUAGAUAAAAUGGGUAUGAGUAUUAUAGAACAAUUAGACCCUGUAUCUUUUAGCAAUUACUUGAAGAAAUACCAUAAUACUAUAUGUGGAAGACAUCCCAUUGGGGUGUUAUUAAAUGCUAUCACAGAGCUCCAGAAGAAUGGAAUGAAUAUGAGUUUUUCGUUUUUGAAUUAUGCCCAGUCAAGCCAGUGUAGAAACUGGCAAGACAGUUCAGUGAGUUAUGCAGCUGGAGCACUCACGGUCCACUGAAGCUCUGAAUCCUCAGGGAUGCCACCUGCACAUUCUCAUACUCUGUCCGGGGUCCCAGCCUAGCCUUUACCAAGAUACUGGUCCUGGUUUGGGGGGAUUCUGAAACCUCAAACUAAUAGAACUUUCUUCUCUUUUUUUUCUAGUAGGUGUAGUCCUUCCUUAAUUUCAACUCAUUAAAAAAUGCUUUAUAGUUUAGGGCAGUGGAAGGAAGGCUGGCAUCAAAAUAUUUUGAUCAAAAAAGAUGACAAUGUAAAGGCUCAGUUGUGGCAGACAGUUUUUUGAAAGUAACUUGUAAAGCAUUUACCAUAUCCUAAAUUUGCACUCUUUGCAGACUUGUGCACAUAUAUUCCGCUUUCAGAAUAGUUUUGCAAAUUGUACACAAACAAAAAGGUGGAAGCUUUUUAAUAAAGAAAUUGCAUUUAUAAAUGAUCUGUAUUAGAAUAUAAUAAAUCUCCAGUUAUAGUCAAUUACUACCCAUGUUGUACAACAGAUACCUUCUAUUUUAGUUGCUAAUAAAGGGCUACACAACUCAAAAUAGUCUGAUUUAAA
rnacentral:sRNA from 1 species